rnacentral:rRNA from 1 species
CGGACGGGUGAGUAACACGUGGGCAACCUGCCUUGUAGAGGGGAAUAGCCUUCCGAAAGGAAGAUUAAUACCGCAUAACAUUACAUUUUCGCAUGAAGAAGUAAUUAAAGGAGCAAUCCGCUACAAGAUGGGCCCGCGGCGCAUUAGCUAGUUGGUGAGGUAACGGCUCACCAAGGCGACGAUGCGUAGCCGACCUGAGAGGGUGAUCGGCCACAUUGGGACUGAGACACGGCCCAGACUCCUACGGGAGGCAGCAUG